CAACGCUUACUCUAUCUAUGUUCCCUUCUCCAAAAGGAUAAUCCUUUUGAAUUGUUGGUGUUUGUUCAAGUACCAGCAUCGAUGACUGCUGUAUAUAUAUCUCGCUCGCUUGAUCUUCAUCGCUUCUAGCUUCAAGGGUCUCGCUCGCUGCUCACUGUUACAUGCUUCUCAGGGAGUGAGGGAUAUCUAUGCCGUUUUUGCUCUCGAACAAGGGCCAAGCAAGAUCUGUCUCUCACAGUUAGGAAGUCGAAGGGGACUUGCAUCCAGAAUUCGCUCCGGCUUGGCUCAGCUCAUUCAAGACUUCAAGAGUGUUAUAGAGCCACCAAACAGGGAAUAAUUGAAGGAAGCGUCUCAAUCGGACAGGUAGAUCUUUCGCUCCCCUAU